AGUACAUGACUCUUAGUAAGAGAUCAAGGU
rnacentral:piRNA from 1 species